CGCUGGCGGCAUGCCUAACACAUGCAAGUCGAACGAACCCUUCGGGGUUAGUGGCGCACGGGUGCGUAACGCGUGGGAACCUGCCUUUAGGUUCGGAAUAACUCAGAGAAAUUUGAGCUAAUACCGGAUGAUGUCUUCGGACCAAAGAUUUAUCGCCUUUAGAUGGGCCCGCGUUAGAUUAGAUAGUUGGUGGGGUAAUGGCCUACCAAGUCGACGAUCUAUAGCUGGUCUGAGAGGAUGAUCAGCCACACUGGGACUGAGACACGGCCCAGACUCCUACGGGAGGCAGCAGUGGGGAAUAUUGGACAAUGGGCGAAAGCCUGAUCCAGCAAUGCCGCGUGAGUGAUGAAGGCCUUAGGGUUGUAAAGCUCUUUUACCAGGGAUGAUAA
rnacentral:rRNA from 1 species